GACGGGGGAGGCAAGCGUUAUCCGGAAUCACUGGGCGUAAAGCGUCUGUAGGUGGUGAUGCAAGUCACUGGUGCAAAACUCUGGCUCAACCGGAGGAAAGCCAGUGAAACUGCAUGACUAGAGUGUGGGAGAGGUAGAAGGAAUUCCCUGAGUAGCGGUGAAACGCGUAGAUACAGGGAAGAACACCGGAGGCGAAAGCGUUCUGCUGGAACACAACUGACACUGAGAGACGAAAGCUAGGGGAGCGAAUGGG
rnacentral:rRNA from 1 species